rnacentral:rRNA from 1 species
CAGUAGCCGCGGUAAUACAGAGGCCUCAAGCGUUGUUCGGAUUCAUUGGGCGUAAAGGGUGCGUAGGCGGUUCCGUAAGUCGGAUGUGAAAUCUUGGGGCUCAACCUCAAAACUGCAUUCGAUACUGCGGGGCUAGAGGACUGGAGAGGAGAGUGGAAUUCACGGUGUAGCAGUGAAAUGCGUAGAUAUCGUGAGGAAGACCAGCGGCGAAGGCGGCUCUCUGGACAGUUCCUGACGCUGAUGCACGAAGGCCAGGGGAGCAAACGGGAUUAGAUACCCGCGUAGUCCCUGUCUCUUAUAC